CUGAGCUUACAAUAGGUUCACUGCUCGAUCCCAGCGCAUUUUCACUGUCGUCGAGUUUCGAUGUGUUUCAGUGCCAAACCUCUCUGAUGACCAGCUGCACACUCCUAUGGAAGGGACUUUCCAAUCACUUCUCUUCCUCGAACAGGACCUCCAGAAGCAAGUAGAUGCACUGAAAGCCAAGCUCCCAGCUUUGAAUUCGAAAACUCAGACAUCUCUAAAAGUCCUUGAUAACCGUGGUACUCAAUCUCCAAGUCGAUGUAUAUGGCCUUUGAAUUAUUGGAAAAAUGCAACAAAAUCUUCAAUUUCUGGAGUAUUAUUGGAGGAUCUUACUGUGUGUAAAGGUGAGGACCAGAAUGAAGAGCUUGAAGUGGAUAACUCCGAGGGUUUGUUUCUCAAGUUGAAAUCCUUCUGCUGUAACUUUGUAGCCAGGGAAUUUUGGGAUUUCAUUACAGUGUGAAAGAAAGAACUGGAACUAUCGGGAUUGGAUUUUGGUUAGGGUAGGGUUGGGUAGGUAGGGGAAGAGAUUGGAGAAAGAAGAAGAUACAAUUUUUUCCCCUUUUUCUUUUUGGGGUUUUUUUUCAAUUUAAUUGAUGUAAUUAUUUAUUUUGGUAAAUAGAAAGUUAUUAUUUUGCCCUUUAUAAAAAUAUUAACAAUAUAGUCAAAUUCAAUUUUUUGGUCAACUAACUGUAAAUCGGAUGNCAUUCAAUAUAUGAAAUCAACACAAUAAAUGCAUAUUGUCAAGAUGUUAGAAAAUAGAAUUUCAUUUUUGAAAAAAAAAAAAAGUGUCUAGAUAUGGAGUUUAAUAGUGACUCUUACCUUGUUGAUAGAAGGAAAAAAUUUGAGAGAUACUACAUAUAAACUCUAGUGUAUAGCCCUCUCAUAUGAGAGGAUGCCCACAAAUUUUUUAGUCAUCGUGAGCUCUCUCUCCUGUGAAAAGGGUGUACACUCUAGUGUACAAGUAUCAUUAUUGAAAAAAUUUAGUAAAAAAUGAGGAUGACACGUUGACAUUACCAGAGCAUAGUAAAGAAUUGAAUCUUGAAAAACCAAUAAAAAUAAAAAAAUACAUAAAUAAAUAUAAUUAGGUGUCUUUACGUUGUUAGGUCAAAAGACGUAGAUUACAAGAUAAGUGAUUAUAAUAGCGAAGUUUGAUAUACCACGUGAAAAAAGAGUGAUGACAGCCUGGCUGCACAUGACUUUUAGGUUACCUUGGAGUUUUUUUUUUUUUUAAUUAAAUUUAUAAUAGUGAUUUUUUGAAGAAUGUAUUAUUAAAAAGUUGGAAAAAAAAAUUAAAUUUACAUGUAAAAUCACUUUAUUGGAAGAAUUUGUGGUUAAAAAUGAAUUUGAUCAAAAAAAUUAAUUUUUUAGAGAUGAAGCUUUACCAAGGACUUAACUACAUCUCGCAUGGGUUCUGAAUAUAAUUUUUGAAAAAUUAUUGUUAGUGAAGAUUUAAUUACAUUUACAGGUCAACUAUUAGUUUAGAAAAAUUUAAAAAAGUAUAUUUUAAAGAAAAUUGAGACAUCGUCACGAUUAUUUAGGAAUUAUCAGAGAAAAUGUACUAGAAAGAUUCUAUGAUAAUAUUGCAUAUGAGUCAAGCUUAAUUGUGAAAGAAGAUUAUCUAACUUGAAAGAUAAACAAUUGGGCCUUAGUAUAAGUACCAACGUUUACUUGUUUUCACAAUUGCAAUUACGUUCUACUUAAUUUACAAGAAUUAAUCAUGUAUAUUGAGUUUAGAGGAUUGAUUUUAGAAAAAUGAAUCUUAUUGAAACGAGCAAUCUAAUUCGUUAUAUAUUUUGGAAAUUGGGGGUUCCAUAAUACAAUAUUAACCUAUAAUUUCCUUGUUUUUAAUAGUGGUGUGAAAUUGAGUGUAAAUUGAUAUCUUCAAAUUACUUUUGCAUCCUCAUUUACGUAACGAUGAAUCUAAAUUCAAAUUUUACUCUAAUGAGAAGAUCUAAAUCUACUUUUUGAUUCUUGUGAAUGUAUAAAUUUUCUGCUGAAAAAUGCAAUUUGCAUUUCCUUUACAUCUCUUUAUUGGAGACAUUUUUUAUCAUUUCGAAAAUCUAAAUCACAAUUUAGAUUUACUUUACACCAUAGAUAUGCCUAAAUGCAUUAUCCUAACAAUUCACCGUUGAACUAAAUAACACUUAAUCUCCAUACCCUCAUUAUCCAUGCCCUUUCUCGAGUUAGAGAUAAUUACAUGCUCCAUCAAAAUUCAAAUAUUCCGCACCUUAUUUGCACUCAACCACCUUCGAUAGGCAGCUAUUUUUUUUUGAUCAUCGCAUUUAAAGGAUCCAUACUUUGCUCAAUGCGUCUCAAACCUAAGUUUGGGACAUAUCGUCAAUACCCACUUCUCGAAAAUUAAUGUCAUUCUAAAACGUUAACCUAAGAGGUGAAGUAGUUCAUUUUCUUUCACAAGUGAUCUACCACGUGUCUAGUCGAUAUAGAAUUAUGUUGGGGCAACACAUGUCUUAUUUUUAGAAGUACUAAAAGAAUAGGUAGGUUGAAUCACAUGCAUAGAGUAUUGAUGUGUAAUUACUUGGAUAGUACUCCAUGUAUAUAUGGUGCAGCGUAUGCUUUACUUCAACACUUCUUUUGACUCAAGAAGCUGCCCCUUUCACUGACACUGAAACUUAAAGGGAUUUUGAUUCUUUUUGCCAUUCUUGCUUUGUGCGGUACUGCAGCUGCAAAAUCCUUCAGUUAAGCAACAGUCUAAUGAUAGCAAUUUACCCUAUAUACAUAGCCUUCUUUUAGAUUAUCUUGUGCUUAAAGUAAAUUUUAAAGUACGAAGCUAUAUGUACAUGCCCUGCUUCAUAGGGUCUGUAUAGGACACAUACAUUAGAAGUGGAUGAAGUGAUAUUUUUUAAUAAUAUUUUAAUCAUCUCAUGUGAGUGUUCUGUAAAAAUUCUGUAAAUCAUAUCCUGUACAUAUGACAUUUUUCAAUUUUAAAUUAAUCUUGAUCAUCUUCGGCACUGGGUAUGUUAAUCUUAGUAUAGGAGUUUCGAAAUGGAUCUCCAGGCAUGGUUUAUGCAUGAUGAAGUGCUUGAUCGUCGAUCUUUUAUUGGUUACGAUCUCUUGAAGAAUUGAUUGUGUCACUCUAUGUCAAAUAAUCACGUUUUCUAUUAACGAGUCGAAUUUGAUAAAAUUAACGACAUUAUGUUUUUCUAGGAAAAACAUGGGAAACCUACCCUUGAACCCUCGUAAAUUGAACCUAUUAUUCUAACUUGGUCAAAUAAAGAAAUAUAAGUUCGUAAAUAAUUUGAUCUGGAUAUUAUUUACAUCAAAUACCAAACAUGAUUAAAUUAAUCCUUAUCUAUUCUAAUACGACACACAAAAUGUUGUACAACACUCGAUAACUAUUUUAUUAUGGAUAAAUUUGUUGCUAAUAUAUAUUUUUUUUAUAAGUUCUUCACAUUUUAAUUGUAUAAAAUGGCCAUAACUUUUAUCGUUGUCUCACUUUUAUACCCAACUUUUUUAUGCAUUUUUAUUUCUAACAUUCCGUUGAUUUUUACAUUUUAUCCCAAAUGAUGAUUUCCAUUCAAAAGUUUCGUAAACAGGGAGUAAAAAUACAUUUUUGUUAAGUAAUAAAAAAUUGCAACUAUAUAUUUGCUCUCAUUUUAAAGUUCGCUAACAAAAUUUUAGAUGAAAACCGUCAUUAAGGACAACUUACUUGUCAGCACGUGGAAUUUCAACUUUAUACCAAAAGGUGAAAGUAAAUAAUGAGUCCAACGAGGUUUAUAUGUCAUAUAUGUAAUACAAAUCUAUUUACUAGAAUCACAAACCAUAACAUUAAAAAAUUAUGAUUCUUGAUCAUAGUUGAGUAACAUGUCUCUUACUUUAACCUUAGUUCGGGAAAAAUUUAUAAAUAAAUAUAUACAAGUUGUGGAUAGUUGAUAAUACUUGUAAGUCUCUUGAAAUGUGUGGUUGAAAGAUAAUUUAAUCAUUUAUAAAUGAUAUUGAGAUAUGUUUUUCUUGAAAUAUUUAUGAUCCUUUUGAUUGACAUUAGAUAUGGAACCUGUUACUUGAUCUAAAUAAUUUUGGCUCAAUCAUUUACCCAAGCAUUUCUAAAAUGUGAAAAUGAAGAGAAGAUGUCUUUUUAUAUUGCAGUAGCGAUGGAAACGGGUCGGGAUUCUUCUUUUCCCCUGUUGGGAAUUUUUGGAAGGCGUCGGAAUAAGAGAAUCCUCAUUUUUUUUUUUUUUUUGCCGAUUCAGGUGUUUUAUUUAUUUUUAAAAUUUGAAAGAUAUAAUUAAUUUAAACAGAAAUAAUAUAAGAAAUAACAGUUAAACUGAAGUGUUUGAUUGAAAAGCAAUAAUUGAUGUACCGGUUGCUUUGUCUAAACAUUCGUAACGGCGUUACAGUUCUUCUACGGCAAAAAUAACAAUAAUACAAAAUUCAUGGUUAUUAAAACGUUUUAUUUUAUUUUUAUUUUAUUAUUAUUAUUUUUUUGGUCUACUUAUAAUCUGGAAUCCUAUUUGGUCCAUGGACUUAGGUUCAAUUGGCCCACUGAAUUGGAAAAUUUUAUCCGUCAAACAUAGAGAAUUUUUUCUACAUUUUUACUGAUUUUAAGGGAUAAUUGCAACAAAGGCCCUAAACCUUUUAAACACUAGUAAACUUUUUCUAAAAUUUUAAUUUGAUACAACCGUCACCUCUAAUAUUUUCAAACGUUACAGAUAAGGCCCAAACAGAUGGAAAACAUCCAAUUUACCGUUACAUGACCAAAAAAGUGAAUUUGACCACGUUGUUAAUAUUUUUAUAAAGGGCAAAAUAAUAACUUUCUAUUUACCAAAUUAAAUAAUUACAUUAAUUAAAUUAAUCCCCCCCGCCCCAAAAAAGGGGAAAAAGGGGGAAAAUUGUAUCUUCUUCUUCCUCCCAUCUUUUUCCCAACCUACCUAGCCCCACCCUAACCAAAACCACGACAAAUUGUUUUCAUUUUCUCAAACUGUGCAAUAACAAACUCAAAUUUUCUCUUAGAAUCAGAGGCGGACCUAAGGGGGGUCCCCUAGGGUCACUGACCCUUCAGUUUUUUCAUUUUUUUUUGUGUCUUAGUUUUCGGGCUUACUAUGAAAUAUCAAACAAAAUUGAAAUAUUACAUUCAUAAUAUUAUUUUAAAGUGCUCACGACCUAAUAUUUCACGUCGUUAUUGUUGUGCAAAAUGGUUAAUCGUAGCAAAUGUUAUGAUGUGUCAAAAUACGACAUUUCAAACUAAUAUUUCGAGAAUUUCGAUAAUAAGUUAAUUUUAAAAUUUCUUCAACGAUUAUACGUUAGCAAUAUCCAUAAAUCUUCUAUAUCCUUUCGAAACUCAUUUCGAGAACUAUUUCAUAAACGUAUCGAAUAAUCUAAAUGAAUAUCGAAAAUAGUUAAACGUACGUCAAACAUGUAUACUAAAAAGAGACGUAUAACUUGUCUUUUUUGAAAAAAAAAUCAAUUAUUUUAUUAAUAUUUAUUAUUUUUGCACGACAAAUUUCUCAAUAUAACUUACAUCAUUUUAUUAGGAAGUUUUAUGUGGUAUAGCGUCAAAUUUUAUUUUUUUUGACGUUAAAAUUCUUAAUAAUUUUAUUUAUUUAUUUAUUUAUUUUCACUUAUAGGGGUUAUAAAUCGUUAUAUUAUUUUUCAUCUUUGAUUAUUUUUAUAUCUAAAAAAAUUUAUAUAUAAAAAAUAUUCAAUCAUUUUUAGGAUUUUUUUUUUAUUAUUGUUAACUUUUCCUCUCGAUCGAUUAAUUUUUUUUAGAAUGAUGUCAAAAAUUUUAUUAGAAAUUUUAUUAAAUUAUUUUUAAAAAUAAUUAAUUGAUUGAGAGGAAAAAGUAACAAUAACAAAACAAAAAAUCCUAAAAAUGAUCAAUUUUUUUAUAUAUAAAAAAUCUUUAAAUGUAAAAAUAAUCAAAAUGAAAAAGUAGUAUAAUAAUUUAUAACCAUAUAAAAUAAUAAAAAAAAAUUCAUCGUUUUUUUUUAAAUUUGAUUGUGACCCCAUGAUCUAAAAUAUCUGCGUCCGCCUGAGCUUACAAUAGGUUCACUGCUCGAUCCCAGCGCAUUUUCACUGUCGUCGAGUUUCGAUGUGUUUCAGUGCCAAACCUCUCUGAUGACCAGCUGCACACUCCUAUGGAAGGAACUUUCCAAUCACUUCUCUUCCUCGAACAGGACCUCCAGAAGCAAGUAGAUGCACUGAAAGCCAAGCUCCCAGCUUUGAAUUCGAAAACUCAGACAUCUCUAAAAGUCCUUGAUAACCGUGGUACUCAAUCUCCAAGUCGAUGUAUAUGGCCUUUGAAUUAUUGGAAAAAUGCAACAAAAUCUUCAAUUUCUGGAGUAUUAUUGGAGGAUCUUACUGUGUGUAAAGGUGAGGACCAGAAUGAAGAGCUUGAAGUGGAUAACUCCGAGGGUUUGUUUCUCAAGUUGAAAUCCUUCUGCUGUAACUUUGUAGCCAGGGAAUUUUGGGAUUUCAUUACAGUGUGAAAGAAAGAACUGGAACUAUCGAGAUUGGAUUUUGGUUAGGGUAGGGUUGGGUAGUUAGGGGAAGAGAUUGGAGAAAGAAGAAGAUACAAUUUUUUCCCCUUUUUCUUUUUGGGGUUUUUUUUUUCAAUUUAAUUGAUGUAAUUAUUUAUUUUGGUAAAUUGAAAGUUAUUAUUUU
rnacentral:lncRNA from 1 species